GGGCCCGUGGUCUAGCGGUUAUGACGUCGCCUUUACAAGGCGAAAAUCGAGGGUUCGAAUCCCUUCGGGCCCA
rnacentral:tRNA from 1 species